UGAAAAAAUAUAGAAACGAACCAAGUCUCUCUUCUAAAUGCAUAAAAUCAUUAAAGGAUGUUUUACAUGAGCUUCUGACUAAUCUUAUUUCUUCUUUCAACCAAGUAUCUUUUCUAUUUUCUUUUAAACUAAAAUAUCUGAUAAAUAUCAACAUGGGACCCUGGCAUCAAUAAAAAGUUGCAUGCAACCUAAUAAAUAUAAAAUAGGAAAUCCAUCUGAUCCAACAAGUCCAAUCCUUGAAGAAAGGACAAAAUAAUAAGCCCAAGUCAUGA
rnacentral:lncRNA from 1 species